AGGCCACGGAAGAUCCCCAGAAUGUCAACCACUGAUUCCAGAUCUGCACAAUCAGUGUCACAUGUCGACAUUGCCUCGGAGUGUCUACAUCAAUUGCGUACAGUAAAAGCAUCCCAGUCAACGAAAGAAACGCAAGACCUACCAUGCUUCUUCAGUAUGCUAAUCGCACAACAGCUGCAUCUACUUAAUACACAUCAGCAAAUAGACGCAAUAACGGCGCUACAAAAAGUUAUGCACGAGAAAGUGAUGGAACGAAGCAGCAAAGGGACAUAUGUGAAAAAUAGCUUCAUCACUGAUACCACAUACAAGGACCCUCAGUAUGCCAAUAAACUUUUUACUCAUCAG